CCUACGGGAGGCAGCAGUGGGGAAUAUUGGGCAAUGGGCGCAAGCCUGACCCAGCAACGCCGCGUGAAGGAAGAAGGCUUUCGGGUUUUAACCUUCUUUUCUCAGGGACGAAGAAAGUGACGGUACCUGAGGAAUAAGCCACGGCUAACUACGUGCCAGCAGCCGCGGUAAUACGGAGGUGGCAAGCGUUAUCCGGAUUUAUUGGGUGUAAAGGGCGUGUAGGCGGGAGCGCAAGUCAGAUGUGAAAACUCAGGGCUAAACCCUUAGCCUGCAUUUGAAACUGUGUUUCUUGAGUGCUGGAGAGGCAAUCGGAAUUCCGUGUGUAGCGGUGAAAUGCGUAGAUAUACGGAGGAACACCAGUGGCGAAGGCGGAUUGCUGGACAGUAACUGACGCUGAGGCGCGAAAGCGUGGGGAGCAAACAGGAUUAGAUACCCGAGUAGUC
rnacentral:rRNA from 1 species